rnacentral:rRNA from 1 species
CGCGAAUGGCUCAUUACAACAGCUAUAAUUUACUUGAUCUUGACUUCCUACUUGGAUAACUGUGGUAAUUCUAGAGCUAAUACAUGCACCAAAGCUCCGACCUUACGGGAAGAGCGCAUUUAUUCGAACAAAACCAAGCGGCUUCGGCCGUUCGCAGUUGACUCAGAAUAACUAAGCUGAUCGCAUGGUCUUGAACCGGCGACGUGUCUUUCAAGUAUCUGCCUUAUCAACUUUCGAUGGUAGUGUAUCUGACUACCAUGGUGGUGACGGGUAACGGAGGAUAAGGGUUCGACUCCGGAGAAGGGGCCUGAGAAAUGGCCACUACGUCUAAGGAUGGCAGCAGGCGCGCAAAUUACCCACUCUCAGAAUGGGGAGGUAGUGACGAGAAAUAACGAGACCGUUCUCUACGAGGCCGGUCAUCGGAAUGGGUACAAUUUAAACCCUUUAACGAGUAUCUAUGAGAGGGCAAGUCUGGUGCCAGCAGCCGCGGUAAUUCCAGCU